GUGGACGUCAGUCGGCACGGGGGCGGCGACCGAUGAGUCGUCGGGAUCGUAGUUGGGAUCGAGGGAGCGGUCGAUGGCCUCGCGGCCCUUUUCCAGGCAGGGCUUGCAGGCGGUUUCGAUGGUGACCCAGGCGAGGAUGACGGCAACUAUGGCGAUCGCGGCGGUUGUGAUCGCUGCCAUCUCUGUUCUCGCAGACUUCGC
rnacentral:misc_RNA from 1 species